GGUGCUCGAGUGGCGAACGGGUGAGUAACACGUGAGUAACCUGCCCUUGACUUUGGGAUAACUUCAGGAAACUGGGGCUAAUACCGGAUAGGAGCUCCUGCUGCAUGGUGGGGGUUGGAAAGUUUCGGCGGUUGGGGAUGGACCCGCGGCUUAUCAGCUUGUUGGUGGGGUAGUGGCUUACCAAGGCUUUGACGGGUAGCCGGCCUGAGAGGGUGACCGGCCACAUUGGGACUGAGAUACGGCCCAG
rnacentral:rRNA from 1 species